AUGUCUCUGAUUUUGAAUUUUUUUUUUCUGCGGAUUUCAGAAUAUAGAAGGCAGCUUCGCAGAGGGGUCACCGACGAGCAAGGUGAGGCCAUUGCGUCUAUUCUUGUGUUAGUUUAUUUGAAAGAAAUCACACUAAUUUCUCUCAGUACAUGUCUCUGCAGAGAAAUACUGUUGUAUGUUCAUGAACAAUUUUCUGUUGCUCUGACUGAACGGAUUGUCUCUGUAAUUCUUGUCUGUUUGGGUGGUGCCCAGCUGCCAAUAGAAGACAAGCUGUCUUCUUGCCGAACAACGCCACAAUUUCAUAGUUGUAUGUUAUUUAGGAUUGUCUCUGUUGCAUACGACCUGGAGUUACAAGAGGUCCGGUACUAA
rnacentral:rRNA from 1 species